AAUGCAACGGCCUCUCAGCCUUCUUGUGUCAUCCUCUCACAAGAGAAGAUCCAUUCUUGGUUGGAUCUAUGGCAGAUUCCUGUCUGUCAGGUAGCUUUUGUGUAUUCCAACAGCUUUUGCAGAAAAUGUCUCUCCUCCUGCUGGAGGUCAGCAAACAUGGAUUUCUCUUGUCCUGAAUGCAGGCAAGUGCCCCAGAUCAGAGCAUUACCCCCAGUCAAUGAGCACCUAGCACACCUGACUGUCAAAAGGUUCAGCUCCCAGGUUUUACAGAGUACUAACGGACAGAGCCAGUGCACCCUUCACAGGAAAGUCUUCAAGCUCUUUUGCCAAGAUGACCAGACGCCACUGUGUGAGAUGCUGUGAAACCCCAGAGCAUGAGGCUCCUGUAGGCUCUUUGUAGGAGAGGCUGUUCUCAAGUGCAGGAAACGGCUCCAGACCAUGCAGAGAAAUUUGGAGAAGCAUUUUGAAGAACCUGAGAACCUUCUAGCUCAUCAGAUCCUUGUGUUUUGGAGAAGGAUGAUCACAGAAGAAACUUAUUGGAGGAGGAAGAAUUUCAAUGUCUUGAAAGGAUAAGGCAAGAGCAAAGGGCAAGGCAGGACAGAGUAACCUUGGAGCAUAUUUGGAUAUGAUACUUUAACAAUACAUUUAGAUGUAUUACCUUUAAUAUCUCUGGGCCUAUCAAAACUCUUAGAAGAUGCUAAGUUCCAGAGGAAAUGCCCAUUUACUACAGGCAGAGAAAAUUGGAAAUUUUUUUUUUCUUGAGUUGUCUCCAUCAUAAUCUUAACUAAUAUUUCCUUGGUGCUUUGAAAGAUUGAAAUGUGCUUUUCCUGUGACCCCAAUGCACCCUGACCACAACCUAGUGAGACAGAUAUUAUUCCAAUUUUCACAGAGGAAGAUCCUGAUUUUGACCAGAAUCCCCCAGAUUGUAAAUUAUUGAGGUUAUAAAUAUGUAUUAAUCUUAACACAUUUCCAUAUGCAUUAUGUUGGAGAAAAAAUAAAAGGGAAAAAUCAUGAGAAAGAAAAAAAAAAAACAAGAAAAUAGUAUGUUUUAAUCUGCAUUUGGUCUGGAUAUGGGUGAUAUUCUCCUUCCAAAAGUUUUUGGAAUUGCCUUGGAUCACUGAAUUGCUGAAAGGAGUUAAGUCUAUCAUAGCUGAUCAUCAUUCAAUCUUUCUGUUGUG
rnacentral:lncRNA from 1 species